AGGUCCAUGCGGUGUAGCAAGGGCUGCCCACCACACCAGGAGGUAGCACCUUAGACCAUGCCACUCAGCUACAGAAAUGACCUUGCCAUGCCAGGGACGAACACCUUACACUACACUACUCAGCAACAGGGCCAUACGGUGCAGAGAGGACUUGCCCACGCCGGGGAUUAUCACCUUACAGUAUGCCACACAAUUACAG